rnacentral:rRNA from 1 species
AUUGAACGCUGGCGGCAGGCCUAACACAUGCAAGUCGAACGAGUGGCGGACGGGUGAGUAAUGUCUGGGAAACUGCCUGAUGGAGGGGGAUAACUACUGGAAACGGUAGCUAAUACCGCAUACCAUCGGAUGUGCCCAGAUGGGUUUAGCUAGUUGGUGGGGUAAAGGCUCACCAAGGCGACGAUCCCUAGCUGGUUUGAGAGGAUGACCAGCCACACUGGAACUGAGACACGGCCCAGACUCCUACGGGAGGCAGCAGUGGGGAAUUUUGCACAAUGGGGGAAACCCUGAUGCAGCCAUGCCGCGUGUAUGAAGAAGGCCUUCGGGUUGUAAAGUACUUUCAGCGGGGAAGCGGUACCCGCAGAAGAAGCACCGGCUAACUACGUGCCAGCAGCCGCGGUAAUAC